GGAUGUGAGGUCGAUCUGGCUGUGACAUCUAUAAUCCCCAUUGAUGCUCAGAGUUGAUUUGCUGAUCUGGUUGGCGAGGCUGGUUCGUCUUCCUCCCUCACCCCUCCAUGUGCAUCCUCGGUCAAAGAGGAUGACUUUUUUUUUUGCCU
rnacentral:snRNA from 1 species